UACGUAGGGGGCAAGCGUUGUCCGGAUUUAUUGGGCGUAAAGAGCGUGUAGGCGGUCAGGUAGGUCCGUUGUGAAAACUCGAGGCUCAACCUCGAGACGCCGAUGGAAACCAUCUGACUAGAGUCCGGAAGAGGAGAGUGGAAUUCCUGGUGUAGCGGUGGAAUGCGCAGAUAUCAGGAGGAACACCGAUGGCGAAGGCAGGUCACUGGGCCGCAACUGACGCUGAGGAGCGAAAGCAUGGGGAGCAAACGGG
rnacentral:rRNA from 1 species